GGAUAGCUCAAUUGGUAGAGCAUGAGACUCUUAAUUUCAGGAUCGUGGGUUUGAGACCCACGCUGGGCAAUA